rnacentral:ncRNA from 22 species
UCAAUCGGGAUGGUGGUUUUUGCCUUUGGUGCCCUCAGCCAAAAUCGAGCAAAACAAAAAGGAACCGUGUGCAAUUCACGGGCAGUCGUGCUACUGUAAGUAUCCGCUCUGAGCAUUCAGGGCCUGUUUUUACCCUCGCGACCCAUUGCAGCGCCCCGGCGCGGCGAGAAGGGCGGUGAAAAUGAUACAAGCCAGGAGACUUGCCAUCAUCCUCAAUGGCUUU